CCGGCUCUUGCCUGGUGGCAUUUCUCACUGGGGCCUCCAAAUGUUGUACCUGAGUUAAAGAAAACGCCACACUUUGAGAUAAAUUAACGAUCCAUUUAUUUA
rnacentral:pre_miRNA from 13 species